CAGUCUUUUGUCGAGGAAUGUGGCUUCUAUGUCAACGUAAACAUCAAUGGAAGCACACAUGAAAACAUCAAUAGUGAUGAAAUUUGUUGAGACCGAUCCCAAUUCCUGGGCCUGCUCCUGAGGAGGACUUUAUUUGACUUACACUUUCGACUUAGGCCUUCGGGCUUGAACUUAAUUGGUCUGAUCAAUUCCAAUUCAGUCAUUCUGGGGUUUCUGGGACCAAUUCUGGCCGGUUCUAAUAUGAGAUCGGACAUGGAAGGUGUCCUUCAGCUCCGGCUUGUGCACUACUGAAAGCGGCACCUCCGGCAAACUCUGCGGGAGCCAAAACUGGUGGUCGAUGAAGGAAUUUCCGUGUGCUUCGCUCACAUUUGCGCCGGCAAAGCGGGUGUUAUCUGCACAUCCAUCCCGGUUGCAGUUUUGGUUAUCGCGACUGGGGCAGACUUAGGGGCCAAGGUUCUAAGUUGAGGAAGUAAAUAAAACAACUAGAAGAAGAAACAAUAAGAACUCACCUGGGAAGAAGGGAGGAGAAAGACGGAGCAAAUCAUAGAAGGAAGAGAAGAACAGUUGCGCAGCUCCACGGCCGUGAGAGAUGUCAUAGUACCUGGUGAUUGCUCUUAUUUCAGCCAUGCAGGAGGAAGAUGAGGUUGAUUCUGGCCAUCCAUCAGGUAGGGGACCCUAUUGUUUGAUGACAUGUUUGGCUUACUAUCCUCGGAUCCAUGGCCUAUCAUUUAUCAUAUUUUUCCUUAAUACCAGGCAAUUCAUUUAAAAAAAUUUCAAAUGUGUCAAAAGAAGGUGGUUUUGUUUUACUAAAUUGCACUGCAUUAGUCUCUGGCAUUAAGCAUGAGGAGAUUGUGUAAUGGCCAAUAUAUGAAGUGCAUGUGGGAUGCCAACUAAGCAGAAACACAUCAGAUUCAUUGUUCACCUAGAUUGUUCUGGGAUGUAAAGCUGUUGCCCAAGUAUAUGGUUAAACAAACCACACAUUUUGAA